CCUACGGGAGGCAGCAGUGAGGAAUAUUGGUCAAUGGGCGGAAGCCUGAACCAGCCAAGUAGCGUGCGGGAUGAAGGCCCUACGGGUCGUAAACCGUUGUUGCACGGGGAUAACACCCUCCACUUGUGGAGGUCUGCAGGUACCGUGCGAAUAAGGGCCGGCUAAUUCCGUGCCAGCAGCCGCGGUAAUACGGAGGGCCCGAGCGUUAUCCGGAUUCAUUGGGCUUAAAGGGAGCGUAGGCGGGCGUUCAAGUCAGCUGUAAAAGCGCGCGGCUCAACCGCGCCCCGCAGUUGAAACUGGACGCCUUGAGUUCACAACAGGCAGGCGGAAUUCGUGGUGUAGCGGUGAAAUGCAUAGAUAUCACGAGGAACCCCGAUUGCGAAGGCAGCCUGCCGGGGUGCGACUGACGCUGAGGCUCGAAGGUGCGGGUAUCAAACAGGAUUAGAUACCCUUGUAGUC
rnacentral:rRNA from 1 species